CAAUAACAUACAAUCUUUUAUCUACGAUGAACCUAAGGAAUUGUUACGUAUAUUGUUAUCCUUAUGGAUUCUUGGAUAUAAAGCUGAAUUUAUGAUACAGGAAUGCAUUAAAAGAAGUAUUUUUCUUCAAGCGCACAAUAA
rnacentral:lncRNA from 1 species